AUUGAACGCUGGCGGCAUGCCUUACACAUGCAAGUCGAACGGCAGCACGGGGCAACCCGGUGGCGAGUGGCGAACGGGUGAGUAAUGCAUCGGAACGUACCUUUCAGUGGGGGAUAACGUAGCGAAAGUUACGCUAAUACCGCAUAUUCUGUGAGCAGGAAAGCAGGGGAUCGCAAGACCUUGCGCUGAUUGAGCGGCCGAGGUCAGAUUAGCUAGUUGGUGAGGUAAAGGAUCACCAAGGCGACGAUCUGUAGCGGGUGUGAGAGGAUGAUCCGCCACACUGGAACUGAGACACGGUCCAGACUCCUACGGUGGGCAGCAGUGGGGAAUUUUGGACAAUGGGGGCAACCCUGAUUCAGCCAUGCCGCGUGAGUGAAGAAGGCCUUCGGGUUGUAAAGCUCUUUCGGCCGGGAAGAAAUCGCACGGGCUAAUACCCUGUGUGGAUGACGGUACCGGAAUAAGAAGCACCGGCUAACUACGUGCCAGCAGCCGCGGUAAAAC
rnacentral:rRNA from 1 species